UUGAACGCUGGCGGCAGGCCUAACACAUGCAAGUCGAGCGGAUGAAGGGAGCUUGCUCCUGGAUUCAGCGGCGGACGGGUGAGUAAUGCCUAGGAAUCUGCCUGGUAGUGGGGGAUAACGUCCAGAAACGGGCGCUAAUACCGCAUACGUCCUGAGGGAGAAAGUGGGGGAUCUUCGGACCUCACGCUAUCAGAUGAGCCUAGGUCGGAUUAGCUAGUUGGUGGGUAAAGGCCUACCAAGGC
rnacentral:rRNA from 1 species